CUUUUUGCGGUCUGGGCUUUCUGGGUCUAUAAAAUCCGUAUCAGAAAGCCCUUACCCCAAAAAGCAU
rnacentral:pre_miRNA from 1 species